rnacentral:rRNA from 1 species
ACUCAAAGGAAUUGACGGGGACCCGCACAAGCGGUGGAGCAUGUGGUUUAAUUCGAGGCUACGCGAAGAACCUUACCCAGGCUUGACAUGGUUAGGACAGGGUAUGAAAGUACCUCUUCUCGCAAGAGACCUUUCCACAGGUGCUGCAUGGCUGUCGUCAGCUCGUGCUGUGAAGUGUUGGGUUAAGUCCCGCAACGAGCGCAACCUUUAUCGUUAGUUGCCAUCAGGUAAUGCUGGGCACUCUAGCGAGACUGCCGGUGAUAAACUGGAGGAAGGCGGAGACGACGUCAAGUCAGUAUGGCCCUUACGCCUGGGGCUACACACGUGCUACAAUGGCCAUUACAAAGGGCAGCAAACCCGCGAGGGGGAGCAAAUCCCAAAAAAAUGGCCCCAGUUCAGAUUGGAGGCUGCAACUCGCCUCCAUGAAGUCGGAAUCGCUAGUAACGGUAGAUCAGCUACGCUACCGUGAAUACGUUCCCGGGUCUUGUACACACCGCCCGU